GAUGAACGCUGGCGGCGUGCCUAAUACAUGCAAGUCGAGCGAAUGGAUUAAGAGCUUGCUCUUAUGAAGUUAGCGGCGGACGGGUGAGUAACACGUGGGUAACCUGCCUAUAAGACUGGGAUAACUCCGGGAAACCGGGGCUAAUACCGGAUAACAUUUUGAACCGCAUGGUUCGAAAUUGAAAGGCGGCUUCGGCUGUCACUUAUGGAUGGACCCGCGUCGCAUUAGCUAGAUGGUGAGGUAACGGCUCACCAAGGCAACGAUGCGUAGCCGACCUGAGAGGGUGAUCGGCCACACUGGGACUGAGACACGGCCCAGACUCCUACGGGAGGCAGCAGUAGGGAAUCUUCCGCAAUGGACGAAAGUCUGACGGAGCAACGCCGCGUGAGUGAUGAAGGCUUUCGGGUCGUAAAACUCUGUUGUUAGGGAAGAACAAGUGCUAGUUGAAUAAGCUGGCACCUUGACGGUACCUAACCAGAAAGCCACGGCUAACUACGUGCCAGCAGCCGCCGUAA
rnacentral:rRNA from 1 species